rnacentral:lncRNA from 1 species
AUUGAUUUACAAUUAAAAGACAAGAAAACUCAUUUAACUAGUAUCAAAGAUGGGUGGGUGUGAAUGUGUGGCCAAUUUGGCAUGUGAUGUAGGUGAAUCCGACCUGUAGAUACAGCCUCAGUCAGACGUGAUUGGGAAGUUCUAUACUAAACGUCGUAGUUGGGAAUUUGUUAUCUGUUACUUGGUACUCAUAGCCUUCAAAGAAUGGGGGUUUGUUAUUUGUUACUUGGUACUCAUAGCCCUUCAAAGAAUGAGCUUUGUUAUUUGUUUAGCUAUCCACGUGGUAGAGAGGAUCCGUUUUGUCCUUGA